rnacentral:rRNA from 1 species
CCAAUGGGAUAUCUUUAGUAAUUGCGAAUGAACAAGGAUAUGCUUAGCUUGACAAAUGGAGCUAUUGGCUUUGAAUUGUAUUGUGGAAAUGUAUUACCAACAGAGGUGCAGGUGCCAGCCUAUUGAAAUAAAGCGUCAAUGAGGGUGAGAAUCCUGUUUGUCAUGUGCAGCCCUUUGUGCACGGUGUAUAUUUGCUGAGUCACACUCCUUGGCAUUGGAAUGCAAAGUGGGUGGUAAGUUUCAUGUAAAGGUAAACAUGCAAUUGAGACUGAUAGCACACAAGUACCAUGAGGGAAAUAUGAAAAGGACUUUGAAAAGAGAAUUAAAUGAGUUUGUAUUUGCUGAACACAAAGUAAACAGACUUGAUUUGCUUGGUGGGAGUGUUGCACUUGCUUGACAAGAGCUUUGGGCUGUGGGUGUAAUGAUUCUUUCUUUGCAUGCCAGUUUCUAUUUGUACAUCUGAUUACCUUUGCACAUGAAUGAUAAGUCUCCUGUGGGGGGUGGAUUGCAUGUGCAUGUAAUGAUUUGUGUUUUGAUAAAUGUGUCUGGUGUAUGUGUGUGUUCCUGUGCUUGGGGAUGCUUCCUUCCUUGGACUUACAAGCCCUGACACACACAUGCUGGCAAAAUGCUUCUGCUUGACCCGUCUUGAAACACGGACCAAGGAGUCUAACAGAUGUGCAAAGUUUGAAGGUGGUAUACCUUUGUGUGCAAUGAAAGUGUCAGCUGGGAUAUGUGCACCAGCACCCAAUUAAUUAGCGGACAGAGGUUUGAGUUGGAGCAUAUCUAUUAGGACCCGAAAGAUGGUGAACUAUGCCUGAACAGAAUGAAUUCAGAGGAAACUCUGAUGGAGGUUCGUAUCGAUACUGACGUGCAAAUCGUUCGUCAUAUUUGGGUAUAGGGGCGAAAGACUAAUCGAACCAUCUAGUAGCUGGUUCCCUCCGAAGUUUCCCUCAGGAUAGCUGGAGUUGCUCAGUUUUAUCAGGUAAAGCGAAUGAUUAGAGGAAUUGGGGACAGGUUUGUCUUUGACCUAUUCUCAAACUUUAAAUGGGUAAUAUGUAGUGGUUGCUGUAUGGAACUUCUAAGAUAAAUGGCAAUAUUGGGUGGGCCAUUUUUGGUAAGCAGAACUGGCGAUGAGGGAUGAACCUAAUGUGGGGCUAAGGUGCUUAAUUACUUGCUCAUUUGAUACCAGAAAGGGUGUUGGUUCAUUUUAACAGCAGGACGGUGGUCAUGGAAGUCGAAAUCCGCUAAGGAGUGUGUAACAACUCACCUGCCGAAUGGACUAGCCCCGAAAAUGGAUGGCGCUCAAGCGGGUGACUGAUACCCAACCAUUGUUGUAAACAACAUCAAUGUGUAGGAGGGCAUGGUGGCUUGUGACACAGCCUUUGG